rnacentral:rRNA from 1 species
UACGUAGGGUGCGAGCGUUAAUCGGAAUUACUGGGCGUAAAGCGUGCGCAGGCGGUGAUGUAAGACCGAUGUGAAAUCCCCGGGCUUAACCUGGGAACUGCAUUGGUGACUGCAUCGCUCGAGUAUGGCAGAGGGGGGUAGAAUUCCACGUGUAGCAGUGAAAUGCGUAGAUAUGCGGAGGAACACCGAUGGCGAAGGCAAUCCCCCUGGACCUGUACUGACGCUCAUGCACGAAAGGCGUGGGGAGCAAACAGG